CACGUAGGGACCAAGCGUUGUCCGGAUUCAUUGGGCGUAAAGAGCUCGUAGGCGGUUCGAUAAGUCGGGUGUGAACCUCCAGGCUCAACCUGGAGACGCCACCCGAUACUGUCGUGACUAGAGUCCAGUAGGGGAGCGUGGAAUUCCUGGUGUGAGCGGUGAAUGACGCAGAUAUCAGGAGGAACACCAGCGGCGAAGGCGGCGCCUCGUGGGCUGGAACUGACGCUGAGGAGCGAAAGCGUGGGGAGCGAACAGG
rnacentral:rRNA from 1 species